UACGUAGGUGGCAAGCGUUGUCCGGAUUUAUUGGGUUUAAAGGGUGCGUAGGCGGCCCUGUAAGUCAGUGCUGAAAUAUCCCAGCUUAACUGGGAGGGUGGCAUUGAUACUGGAUGGCUUGAGUUCGGGAGAGGGAUGCGGAAUUCCAGGUGUAGCGGUGAAAUGCGUAGAUAUCUGGAGGAACACCGGUGGCGAAGGCGGCAUCCUGGACCGACACUGACACUGAGGAGCGAAAGCCAGGGGAGCAAACAGG
rnacentral:rRNA from 1 species